rnacentral:lncRNA from 1 species
CUCCUCAGCAGGUCCCACGAGGAAACCUUGCUGGUUCCUGGCAUAUCACCUGUGACCUUUCCAGGAGCAGGGAAGUGCCUGGAUGCUCACUGGAAAUGAUGCUCACCUCUGAUUUUCGCAGGAGUUUUCUUUUUUCUCAGCAGUAAUUCCAUUUGUCUGGGUACCAGUAUUAGUAAACCCAAACAAGGCUGUUUAUUCUCCUGCAAUUUGAGUCACAAGAAGAAUAAACCCAGACACCAAAGUGUCUCUGAGCACUGCCAGAGCAGCAACUCGAGGGAGGAGCAUUGUCAGGCUUCUACUCCAGGACACAUCACCUUGUUGUAGGACGAGGAAAACUUCACUGACUCCACCAAUUUUCAUCUGAAGCACAGAAUCACAUAUCAGGAAAUCUGGAUCAUCAGCCUGAUUUAAUGGUAUAGAAGGACUAAAGGAGAGUGAUUCAUCACAGGGACUGAUUCCCAGGGCUCUGCUGUGUGAAAGGCUCGGCUGGAUAUGCGCCAGAAGAGAGAGGGAGAUAAAAAUAGUAGACAUAUUCAGCAAGCAUCCUUUUAUUUUUUAAGUCACC